rnacentral:tRNA from 1 species
GCCGGGGUGGUGGAAUUGGUAGACACGCUAGCUUGAGGGGCUAGUGGGCGCAAGCCUGUGUGAGUUCAAGUCUCGUCCCCGGCA